rnacentral:rRNA from 1 species
GAUGAACGCUAGCGAUAGGCUUAACACAUGCAAGUCGAGGGGCAGCGAGGGUAGCAAUACCUGUCGGCGACCGGCGCACGGGUGAGUAACGCGUAUGUAACCUGCCCGCAACAGGGGGAUAACCCGGCGAAAGUCGGACUAAUACCGCAUAAAACAGGGGUCCCGCAUGGGAAUAUUUGUUAAAGAUUUAUCGGUUGCGGAUGGGCAUGCGUACCAUUAGGUAGUUGGUGAGGUAACGGCUCACCAAGCCCUCGAUGGUUAGGGGUUCUGAGAGGAAGGUCCCCCACACUGGUACUGAGACACGGACCAGACUCCUACGGGAGGCAGCAGUGAGGAAUAUUGGUCAAUGGGCGAGAGCCUGAACCAGCCAAGUCGCGUGAAGGAUGACUGCCCUAUGGGUUGUAAACUUCUUUUACAAGGGGAAUAAAAAUGAAGAUACGUGUAUUUAUUGCAUG